rnacentral:rRNA from 1 species
UACGGGGGGGGGCAAGCGUUGUUCGGAAUUACUGGGCGUAAAGCGCACGUAGGUGGCCUGUUAAGUCGGGUGUGAAAUCCCUGGGCUCAACCCAGGAAGUGCACUCGAAACUGGCAGGCUUGAGUACUGAAGAGGGUCGCGGAAUUCCCGGUGUAGAGGUGAAAUGCGUAGAUAUCUGGAGGAACACCGGUGGCGAAGGCGGCAUCCUGGACCGACACUGACGCUGAUGAGCGAAAGCCAGGGGAGCAAACGGGG